GUGACUGGAAUCCGGAGAAGGAUUUGCUGGCCAUGGUCACACGGAGGACUCGGAGGUGGGUGGUGCUUCGUCACUUCAAUUGGCAAGAGGCUGUGGACAAUCUCUCCCGGAACCAACUGUGAUUGCCGAUCUAGCACGAAUUGCGUUCGAUGGAGAAUUGGACGAAUUUAGAGGUAUAAAGUGCUUGGAAGUCUAAAUGAGAAGGUGAACGUCAAACUGAGGAGUUGGUCUUUUCACACAGAAACGAAGAGCGAAUGAUGGCGAUGCGAGUGGAGAUCUAGAGACGACUUAGUUGCAAGUAAGGAAUUCCAAGCUGGUAUUAGUUGAACGGAGGGAAUUUUAUUUACAGGCGCGAUAGAUUCUCAUCAACUUCUCAACCAGGUUGUUGCCUUAGAGGAUAUUUUCCAUAACCUAGCCAACAGUCAUCUACACCGACCGUAAGUGUACCAUACUCCUGUAUGGCCAUCUUGUUGCCCUUCUUCGUACACCAGUUAAAGUGUCCAUGACAUAAUUAACAUGAAUAGGAGGGGAUGCCAUUUAUGCUAGAUAGACUAGCUAUGUCAGAUGCAGAAAUGCUUGAUGCCCACUUGGAGUUCGCAGGUUGAGCCCCUGCAGAAUACCGUCUAAAUGUUCAUCAGGCAUCUAAAAAGAUCUUCUUAGAUUUCUGAUGGUGACUCUCACAUUGAAAUUUUACUGCUGGCUCCUCUUCUUUUACUGAUUGAGCAUUCUUUUAAUGAAUGAGCAUGCCCUACAAGGAGAGAUUUAGUGGAUACUGAAAUAUAGAUUAUAGGCGGAAAGUUAAUCACGUUUUGUAUUACUUGAAGUUUAAUUUAUCUUCUUUUCAUUACAGAGGGGCAUUUCGUCCAUCAUAUUGAUUAAUCAAGUUCGCUGGUGGGAGUUUGACUAUUGAAUAGGAUAUAAAUCGAGCUAUGCCGCAUACUUGUAUGACAAUCUGGUCGGGAGGGACAGAGGGAGGAAUUGGAGAAAGCAAAGAGACUAGGAGGGUAAAUGUAUAACAUCAUUAUGCUGGCGUCCUGAUGGCAAGGUUGUUGUCUGGGGACUUGAAGACGGUAUGGUUUUACUGCAUGAUGUUGAAGUGACUGAUAUAUAUGGAAACUACCUUUCUACUGAAGAAGCUAAUGGAUCUAAAGUGAUCAAAUAAAGGAGCUUUGGAAGUUAUGUUAGAUUUAAAGUUCAUAUAUGAUGUUCUUUCUGGAGGUGAUUCCACUAUGGAUGAGGAGUUGUCUAGAAGUUCAAAGCCAAAGUAUUCGUUUAGGCAAAAGGAUCAAAGACAGAAAAAGUCUGCCAUCAGAACAUGUAUAGAGGGAUUGGUACAUUGUCUGUUGCAGAGAUUGGAUCCCGUGGACUGGCUCACGUUAGAGCCAUAUCUGUGGGAGAAUGAAAGACAGUCAUAUUUACGGCAUGCUGUCCUCCUCGGGUUCUUCAUACAACUUAAUCGGUUGUAUGUGGAUACAGUGCAGAAACUGCCCUUGAAUUCAGAAUCAAAUAUUAUGAGAUGCUCCACAGUUCCCCGGUUUAAAUACUUCCAAUCAGUGUACCUGCAUUGUCUUCAAGGAAGACUCUAAAGCAACUACUGGUGUUUCUAUAGAAGGUUUUUCAUCGAAGAGUCAGAAAUCUUAUAGUAAUGGAGAAAUUUCUUGAACGAUUGAUUUGGACGACAGAUCGUCUUCAGGAGUAGCAAGUUCCAUUGUUGAAGUCUUUUAUGCAGGUUGGCAGCAGAUUUGGAGAGAACACAUUGAAACUGGGAUCCAUCCUGACUAAUGGUCAAGUGGGCAUAUUCAAGGACAGUUCAGCUGCUGCCUCAUUGAAAUUCAGUGAUGUUUUUCCUGUGCAGGCCGCGGGUCUUCUUUCAUCCUUCACCACAACCCGACCAGAUGCUUGAAUGAGAAUGCCUUGCCGUAUGCCAAUUGAUAUAUACAUUGGAAGCCACGACAGGUAAAACAUGAGGCUUUUUCACACUUUGGCUUCCGGCUUUUUUAAGUUUCACCUAAGAUUCUGGGGUAGUCCCGGAUUAGUGGUGCGGCCCAAAAGCUGUAUUUAUAGGAUAACGGAAUGAAAAAGAGAAUACCUUUUGGAUUGAGUGGGAGAGGGGCAAGAGCUGGUGUUGGUGAAGCGAGAUCGAGAAAGGCUUCGUAUUUGUUGUGGUGUCUGUAGGAAUAAGUGAGCUGGUUCAGCAUUUUUAUUGCAUACCUUUAUUAGGCGCAAACAUUUGCAAAGCAGAAAAUGGAUGUUAUACUAUCAUAGGAGAUGGCGGCAACAGUGUUGAGGGAAGUUCGUUUUGUAAAAUGAAGACUUCCAAGUGAGGCAUAUGCUUUGGACAGAAAGCUAUGAGACGCCCCAUCAAUCAAGUGCAGAUCACUUGUUCUUAUCAUUCAAAUUUUGUAUCUCGUGCAUUAUUUCAAUUCCGUAGACAAGAUCGAGUUACAGCAAUGUAUAAUUUUGGCUUUCUGGAUGGCUGGAUCUUUUUCCUUACUACCUUGUGCUCUUUUAUCUUUUUGUGUAGCUUAAUGCAUUUUCACUACAUUGUAAUAGCUUUGAAUGUAACGUCUUUUGAAUUCAACCUAAGCCAUUCAUUGCUGUAAA